CGCUCGGCCACGCUGAGUUAAAAGUCAUUAAUGAGGAAACAAAAGAAUCGAAAUCAAACGAGAAGAUGAGUUCGAACACUACACAUGUACGCGCUUGUAGCCACCGACCGUGGAGAAGGAUAGAGAGGCGAUGAAUGUGUGAGAUUGCUUCGUUGGUCUCUUAAGAAGACUAAUUCGUCCGUACAGGGAAGUGAUCCUCCGCAUCUCUUUCUCUCUUUGCCCCUGGAAACGACCGCCAGGUGUCUGGUGGGGUUUGGUCUGGAGUCAGAUUGAGCAGCAACCCGCUUUGAUUGAAUCCUACGAUUAAAACUCAAACCGGAGCCGUAUCAAUUGAUAUCCGGUUUACAUUCACGUGAGAAUUGUCCGGUAUGCUCAAACCGUUGGAGGUUGUGUAAUCGCAUAGGCUCGAAACCAUACUGGCCUGAAAAUAUUAUGAAUUUUUUACGCUGUAAGACACAUUUCCACUUUCAAUUUACACAAUCAAACACAUGUUGGUAGAGGCACACUUUAUCUCUGUUGAUUGUCUCUUAUACCCCCAAUUUCGUUCCUUCUUAACAUUCCUUCUUUCGUAACUAAAUUUUUUUGAGUUGAUUACACUAAGGGACACUUUUUGACUUUCCCUUAGACCUAGAGACACUUGUUACAUGUGACAUACUUUAUUGUGGGUCAGCGACAGACUUUGGACAAUUUUGUCCUUAGUGAAAAAGACAAUUGUGGACACUAAAGUGAUGCGUGGACGGGUGAUGCGUGGACGGGUGAUUUGUGGAUGGAAUAUACGUGGAUGGGUGAUGUGUGGAUAAAUGAUGAGUAAUGUGUGGACAUGCGAUGUUAAUGUGUUUAUAGUAAAUAACGUGGACAAACUCUCUGUUUUGAUUCUACAAAACUAUAGGACAAUACGUGGAUAUGGACUCAUGUUACUAAAGUUAUACCACAAAACGUGGACACAGACUGUUAUCAAAACUCCCACCAAAAGUUAAAAAAAAAAAAAAUUUGUCCAUACCUAAAUGAUCUAUUUUGAUACACAGGUUGUGGACUGAAUCAAAGUCAAUAAAUAUGUUUUUGAUACAAUUGCUUGAUACUGCCAAAACAGUAAUAUGUGGAUAGAAAACAAAAGUUGUGGACAAGGUUUUGUGUCCACAUCCACAAAUAAGUGUAAUCAAAUUUGUCGUCUUCCUCCAACAGAGAGAGAGCUUGAGAUCGUCAUCACCAUGACUUCUGAAUUAACUCAGGAAGACGACUCGAGUUGAUGGAAUCAAUCGUUGAGUUAAGCUUCUCCUCUCCAACAAACACAACACAUCCUCUCCAUCGACCUGACUCGUUCCUCACUCACCACAACCAGAGCCAAGUUCGAACCCAAAAUCCAUCUUGUUUCUCCUAAAUUCAUCCUCACUAUCUCUACAGGUUCACUCCCGAAACAAUCUCGUCGUAUCACAACACAAAGACUAAAAAAUUCUAAUACUGAGUCGACUCGAACAAGACUCAUCUCGAGUCGCCGGAAUCACCGUGAAACCAGAGUCUCCAUCAAAAAUAUCGACAGAUCCUAUUUCAAUUUCGUUCUAGAUUUGUACCCUUGAGGGUCUGAGAAAUUAAGAUGCUUUUUUAAUGGGGAGCUAUGGUUCUUGUGGAGAAGAGAGAUUCCACCAUUGCAGUAUAGAUGAGAUGUGUGAGGAUCUGGGAAAAUUAGAAAAGAUUCUCCACAAACUGACCUUGUAAGUCGGGAUUUUUCCAAUCUACGGGAUCUCCGCUUUGUUAUGCAUGUCGAACUGGGAAACAAUCUCGUCAAGAACCCUCGACUGUUAUUUUUUCAAUUUUUCAAUCUCUUUCUUCUUCCUUAAAUCUCCAUUACAGAAAGCUUUCUUCUAGUCAGAAGCUCUUAUGGGGUUUUGUCUCCUUCUUCGAUCGUUAGGUGAUAUGCAAAUAAAAUGGAAAAAAAUGUUUUCGAGAAAAGCGUGAGAAUGAUGAAGACAGAAUGAAGAGGAGAGAAGAAGGUUUUGUUUAGGUCGAUGCUAUUGACAAUGGAUUGUUUCGUUUGAUGUUAAUUGGAAUGUGUAUUUGAUUCAAUUUAGAUAACGAUAGAGGGUUGCCAAAAAAAAAAAAAAAAAGAGAUAACGAUAGAGGAAUAGGAUGUUUACGUAGAGAAAAUAAUGUUUGAGUUGAAAGAAGGGUAAGAUGGACAAAGAACACUCAUAAUGUGUCUGUCAAGUGAAAUGUGGCCUGAGAUGAAAUUGCAAAGUGAUAAAGUGGUUCAGAAAGUAAAAAAUUCAAUUUUUUUUAACUAAAACAACAAUCCGUCCAAUUGGACACACAUCUCAAUUAAAGAAAUAUAGUAAAAUACAAUUCAUCAAUUAUCUCUCAUAUUCUGAGACAAAAAAUUGAAAUCAGUUUCAUAGUUUCUCAAACCCUAAUUGCAACGAUCCCCUUUCAUCAUCUAUCCCCGAACCUCGUUCAGCUUCGAGAAACCAUGGCUAAAUCGAAGUCGAAGAAGAAAGGGAACCUCAAUAGUCAACCUUCUUCACCGCAGAUCGGCAACAGAGGUUUAUAUUUUGAAUUCUUUAAUCUUUUUGACUUCAAAGAGUUCUCGAAAUCCCUAACUUUUUAUGUUUUUCUUGUUUGUGUUGUAAUUUUCCAAUUGGAUCGAAUCUCUGAGAUUUUGUGGAUGGGAGAGAUAAUGAACAGAUCCGAGAGCUCCAGUGUAGAGAGGGCAACGUGACGACGAGCAUGUCCAAGCUCCGUUGUGAAGAGGAUGACAGGACGGCCAGCAGAUCUGAGCUCCGGUGCGGAGAUGACGCGGCGACGAACAGGUCAUGCCUCUAUUGUGGAAAAGAAGACGACAAGCUCUCGUGGUGUGAAGAUGGAUUUUUGGGCCAAACUUGACAUGACCACAGCAAGAAUCCAUGGAUGAUGCAGCAAGAUAUUUUGACUACAUGACCACAUCAAGAGUCUAUGACGUAGUCCACAACAACAACGUUCUAAACAUCAAUCUUGUUCCCACCCAUUAAGAGUCUAUGGAUGUUGCAGCUCAACACCGAUCCAGACUCCAAAACGUGGUUUAUCUACUUUCACUUGGUCUUGUAUUUCAUAACUAUGUCAACAUAUGUAAUUACUAUAGACCAAACUUGGGGAAAGUAUGGAUGUUAACGUUUUAGUGUCUGUGUCCAGUUUUGAUGUCCAUGUCCACAUAUAGUUUAUAACUCUAUUAUCCAAGUGUCCAUAUCCACAUUUUUAUAGAUGAUUGAGAAUAUAAGAACGUUGUCAACGAAAACACAUCCAUGAAACUUCUUAAAAGAUUUUUUGUAUUUUUGUAUC